GACGUAGGGCGCGAGCGUUGUCCGGAUUUAUUGGGCGUAAAGAGCUCGUAGGCGGCUUGUUGCGUCGGCUGUGAAAACCCGCAGCUCAACUGUGGGCUUGCAGCUGAUACGGGCAGGCUUGAGUUCGGUAGGGGAGACUGGGAUUCCUGGUGUAGCGGUGAAAUGCGCAGAUAUCAGGAGGAACACCGGUGGCGAAGGCGGGUCUCUGGGCCGAUACUGACGCUGAGGAGCGAAAGCGUGGGGAGCGAACAGG
rnacentral:rRNA from 1 species